rnacentral:rRNA from 1 species
GGGGGAAGUCAUCAGUGAGAUACCACUCUUGGUAAGCUAGAGCGCUCAUUUUUAACCGUUAUCCGGUAAAAAGACAGUUUCGGGCGGGCAGUUUGACUGGGGCAGUCACCUCCCAAAAGGUAAUGGAGGUGUACAAAGGUUCUCUCAGGCUGGACGGAAAUCAGCCAUAGAGUGUAAAAGCAUAAGAGAGCUUGACUGCGAGACGGACAUGUCAAGCAGAGACGAAAGUCGGUUUUAGUGAUCCGACGGUGCUGAGUGGAAAGGCCGUCGCCCAACGGAUAAAAGUUACUCUAGGGAUAACA